GUCGAGUGUACUAACCAUGAGGCCACCGCGCCUCUCAUAUUUAGAUCAAAAUGUAUCAAUAAAACAGAAACAUUGAUCUGACGGCAGGUAUUGCAUCUUUAUCCAGUUAAUAUCCUGAUCUCUGUUCCCUGGCCUCUGGCUUCUGAGCUAGUGGAGAUUUUACAUCAUUUAUUUGUUGCCAGUCCAGACUUGCCAGUCCAAUCAGUACUGUAAUAAAAAUAUACAAUGUUGUUAUUUUAAAUUAAUAAUUUGGUCUUCAUUUUCCUUUAUUUCUUUUUCUCACCUGAAGAUGGGCAAGUCCAGGAGAUCCUCUGGAUGGACUCAAGCUGAAAUAAAUGCUACAUUGAAAAAGCACACGCCCUACGACACCUGGAAAUGAUCUCAGCCCGGUCACGGUGACAAGGUUAAAGCUAUCAUUACAGUGCGACUACUCGAACCGCGCCACCUGGGAAAGAGUUAACCAAUCAGAACGUUACUUGAGAACAAAGGAUAGCGAUCCUUUUCUCAAAUAAACCAAUAACAUUGAAGAAUACGAAAAAUAGAUCUUAACAAAGUUGAAAACCCAACACAGGUUUAUAAUUUCGAUAAUUUGCCGUCAAGGAAUGAAUCUCUAAGAGUGUAUGUAACGUUAAGGAGUCGAUAGUGUUUAUGUUUCCACGCCAAACAGACCGUUAGUUGCCGUCGCGAGAAGCUAUCAGUCCAUUGUUCUCAGUUUACGUUCUGGUUAGUUAGUUUUGUUUUAGGUGGCCUGGUUUGAGUAGUUGCACUGUAAAAAACAUUGAUGAAGAAAUCCCCGUGGAUGUUCCAAAGCCUGGAUGAUCUGCAUGUUGCCAUGUUUGAGAACUAAGUUGAGUCCACAGGCUGUUUUGUUGAUCAUGUCUGGUUCCUGUAAAAGCCCAUUGCACAAGCAGCCUGUGUCAUCCUGGCUGAAAUAACGUAGAGCAAAACAAGAAAAUUAACGUUAGAAUUUUGGGAUCAUUACUGUAAGGACCUCUCCACUGGAGCCAUAGUUAAUAAAGGGGAAUGACAAAAUAUGUUUUGUAUGUUUUUGUUUGCUUUUUUGGCCUUGACCUUGCACAGAACACAAUAGCUGUUUACUUCUGACGAAGGAACAAACUAAUAGAAACCUUUCAUUAUGCAAUUCAUGCAUAGAAUAUGAGCGAAAACCAAAGAUUGUGCACGGUCAUGGACCUUCCAACUUCAAUCUUGGCGUCUUUGUUUUCUCCUUUGAUGUUUGCUGGCUCCAUAACCAUUCCCCUCUGCUAACUAUGCUGGAGUGUAGGAAGGCUUUUUUUUCUUGUCAGAAAAUUAAUGUAGGACUCUGUAUGAUUUAUGAAAGACAGUUAACUGAGCAGGUUGUUGAUUAUUGAACAUUCGUGCUGUAAUUCUUUCCAAGUGGGAGAUAUUUUGAGUAUUUGUGAGUCUAUAAGUGGAAGUCUGGCAGAAGAUUAAACACAGUGAAACAGUU